CACGUAGGGGGCAAGCGUUUGUCCGGAUUUAUUGGGCGUAAAGAGCUCGUAGGUGGUUCGGUAAGUCGGGUGUUAAACCCCCAGGCUCAACCUGGGGACGCCACUCGAUACUGCUGUGACUAGAGUCCGGUAGGGGAGCGUGGAAUUCCUGGUGUAGCGGUGAAAUGCGCAGAUAUCCGGAGGAACACCGGUGGCGAAGGCGGCUCGGCUGGGACGGUACUGACGCUGAGACGCGAAAGCGUGGGGAGCAA
rnacentral:rRNA from 1 species